AAAAAUUAAACUAAAAAUAUAUUACUGGAUAUGGUUUGACCAAACGGCCUACAUAUUAAAAAUAAAAUUGAAAAUCCUAAAAUUUAUUAGGAGAAAUCUCCCCCUCUUUAAAGACUAUGUGGAUGCUAUUGUGUUAUGGUAUGAGAAGAGGGUCUUGUAUUUAUAAAUGUCCAAAACCUUUCCUUCAAAAAAAGGUUAGCCAAAUAUGGAAAAAAAUUAAAUUUUUUAGAUGUCCAAAACCUUUCCUUCAAAAAAAGGUUAGCCAAAUAUGGAAAAAAAUUAAAUUUUUUUCUUUCAGAAAAAGUAAAAGUAAUUAUGGUAACUUUUAUUUUCCUUCUUAAAAAAAUAAAACUUAAAUAAUAAGAAAAUCAGGGCAAAAAUCCUAACAAAUCUCCCCUUUUUGGCUUGAUUUUCUUCACUUGAUCCGUCUUCUCUUCAUAUCACGUGCCUGAACUUCGUUCUUGAUAUAAUCUUCAUAACUGCUCCUUGCCCUGGUUAAAAAUAAGGUUUCAAAUAUCACGGUUAAAAAUUGGUUUAAAAGUAAUAUUUUAUUUUUAUUUUUAAAGAUGCAGCAGUAGGAGUGUUGAAAAUAUGGUUGAAACUUUUUCUCCACAUAUAGUUCGACAAAAAUCUUCAUUAUCAUCCAAAUUGUUGCAACUUGAUUUUAAAACCGCUUUGAACCUGUUUAAUCUCGUCUAACCACACCAUUGGACCAUUGAACCGUAAGCUCUGAUACCACUUGUUGGGUCCGAAAUCGAGAGGGCGUCUUGCAGAAGCUAAUAGUUGCAAACCAUUGUGGUGACAAUUCAGAAGACACAUAAAACAAUACUAAAAAGCUUAAUAUUAUUAUAUUAUUUGGCCAAUUGGCCCACAUAUAAAAUCUAAUAUUAAAAACAUAAAAACUGAUGAGAGAGAAAAUCUCUCACUAAACAAAGCUUUUUAAAGACUACAUUG
rnacentral:lncRNA from 1 species